rnacentral:rRNA from 1 species
AACGAACGCUGGCGGCAUGCCUAACACAUGCAAGUCGAACGAGAUCUUCGGGUCUAGUGGCGCACGGGUGCGUAACGCGUGGGAAUCUGCCCUUUGGUUCGGAAUAACAGUUGGAAACGACUGCUAAUACCGGAUGAUGACGAAAGUCCAAAGAUUUAUCGCCAGAGGAUGAGCCCGCGUAGGAUUAGCUAGUUGGUGUGGUAAAGGCGCACCAAGGCGACGAUCCUUAGCUGGUCUGAGAGGAUGAUCAGCCACACUGGGACUGAGACACGGCCCAGACUCCUACGGGAGGCAGCAGUGGGGAAUAUUGGACAAUGGGCGAAAGCCUGAUCCAGCAAUGCCGCGUGAGUGAUGAAGGCCUUAGGGUUGUAAAGCUCUUUUACCCGGGAUGAUAAUGACAGUACCGGGAGAAUAAGCUCCAGCUAACUCCGUGCCAGCAGCCGCAGUAACAC